rnacentral:rRNA from 1 species
UCCGGACGCUGUAGGGAAAAGGUGGCCUCUUCUUGAAAGCUACCACCGAAGGAUGAAGCCUGCGUCCCAUCAGCUAGUUGGUAAGGUAAUGGCUUACCAAGGCGAAGACGGGUAGCUGGUUUGAGAGAAUGAUCAGCCACACUGGGCACUGGAACACGGGCCAGACUCCUACGGGAGGCAGCAGUGAGGAAUAUUGGGCAAUGGGCGAAAGCCUGACCCAGCCACGCCGCGUGAGUGAUGAAGGCCCUCGGGUCGUAAAGCUCUGUGGAGAGGGACGAAAAACCCUGGUUUCAAAUAGGCUCCAGGCUUGACGGUACCUCUUUAGCAAGCACCGGCUAACUCUGUG